rnacentral:lncRNA from 1 species
GUGGCCCUAUUUAAAAUUAUAAUGGUACAUAUUUUAUUAAUAUUUUGAAAUUUUGAAUAAAAAAUAUAAUAUAUAUAAAUCAUCACUAAAAAAUUGAUUUUAUUUAAUAUUUGUAAAUUUGGUAGUUUGGGUAAGCUAAAAUUUUGGUUUUAUAAUUUUCCAAGCAUGAACCUUUUUUCAGAAGAAAAUGUUGACUUUACUUGGUUUUACGGUGUAUUAAGUAUAAUCUAGUAAUAUACUGGUGGAUUUUUUUAUUGGAAAAUUUGGUUUCAAAAACUAAAAAUUUCCAUAUAGGUUGAAACCCAUGUCUAUAAUGAGACAAAAAAACAAAAAAAAAUGGAGUAAAAGAAGAGAACAAAAAUAAUUUGGUUAAAUAACUUUAAAGUUGAGGAGACAAUUGUAUAAUUGAGAAAAAGAAAAUAAACCAAAACAAAAAGUGUGAAACCAUCUCCUUAACAAUAUAAUCGAACACAUCAGUAACUAGAAAAUUAAGUCACUUGAGCUAUACAUAUUUUAGAUACGUAGCCCAAAUUUUGUUUCAUUAAUUGGUGGCCUAAAUCAGCUACUUUACCGGCCUUAUGGAAGGAACGGGUCUGACUUGUUCACUUUUAGAUAUUUCUUUUUUUCUUUCAAUUUCGGUUAUAUUGGAAGCUACACAAAUUCCAGUGAUAAGAAAGAAUGAUGACCGUCUGAAUGUUUGGUCUUCUCAAGAUUAAAGGUGUUGGGCCUUUUUUUUUUUGAAGCAGGUUGUAUUCAAAUUGUAAAAAGAAAAAACCUCCAAAAAGAUAACACACACCUCACAGAAGAGGAUUGGAAGGAAAGAAAGAAAGAAACAACAGAGAGUAGAGACAUAAGAUAAAACAGUAAAGAGGGAAAGACACAAUAGGUGCUUAAAAGGCGAUAGUUCGCACACCCAUAGAGAUCACAGAACCGACUGUUAGGGGCUAUAGAUCAUGGAGCAGGGCCUCUCUUCGAAUGGUAUGAUCUAACCAAGCAGGGCCUCCUUGAGCCACAUAAGGUGUUGGGCCUUUGGCAUCUGAAUUCUAGUGACGGUAAUUACGAGUUUAGUCCAAAAUAAAAAUGCAAUAUCAGGUUAUAAGAUACAUAUAAAUAUUACUCCAUAUAUUUUAAUUCCUCAAAUUAGUCUCAUGAUAUAUUUGAACAUUAUACUUUACUUUUGGAAAGAUGUGUACUAUUUCUUUUUGACAAAAAAAGAUGUGUACUAUUACACAUGCUAUCUGGAUUAACUAUGUAAUAAUGGAUAACUUCAUAUCCAUGUCAGUAUAUUCCUUAUCUAAAAUACUCCAAACAUUUCGAUUUUUGUUUGGAGCUAACCGACAUGUAAAAUCUCUGUUAACGGAAUGAUAUUGUUGGUUAUUACAAGUUUAACUAGGAGUUUUACCCCACAUGCGAGCAUAGUUAUUUAACAAAUACUUAUUAAUAAAUAUAUUAUUAGUUUAAAGAUCAAAAAAAUUAAAUAAAACAUUAAAUUUAUACUAUUUUAUGAAUAUUUUAAUUUCUUAAUUUCCUAAUCUUUAUUGAUUUAACAACAUUAUUUUUGGGUAACAACACUAAUAUCUUGUAAAUAUGUUGUUAUCUUGAACAAAUUUUUAUUAUAUUAAUUUAUAAACAAUGAUAUAAUUAAAUAAACAAAUAUAUAAUUGUUAAUAUAAAGUGAUGUUAUUAAACCAAAUUCUAGGAAUUAGCAUAACCUACAAAAUCUCAAAAUAAAUCAAAAUCACAAGAAUGUUAAACCAAACUUAGCUUUACAUAUUAUAUUAGUCAAAGUAAAUAAGAAUAUUGAUAUAUGUAUAAUUAUAUUGUGAAAUACUUCCUAUAAUAAUUGAAUAAACACUCAAGCAGACCAACUAUGUUGACAAACAAAACAUUAAUAUGUAAUGUAUAUUUGAGAAAAUUUUAAUUUAAACAAAGUUAUAAUUCUUUAAAACUCUUGAAAAAUUAAAAUUAAAUAAAGUAAAUUUUCAAUUUUCAUAAAUAUAAGGUACUUGUUGUAACAAAAAAAAUAUUUUGAAAAUAUUCUUUGUUGAAAGUUAUUCUUGAAAUUAGAUGAUAACAAUAAAUAUUUAGUAAAAAUAAAAACAAAGAAAUAUUAAAUUUUCAACUUAAAUAACAAAUACAAGUUAUUAUUGCAACUGAAUGAUAAGAACAAAAAUAAAAAUAUCAUGAAAAUCACGUUAACAAACAAAUAUACAUCAAAUUUAUUGUUAUUGUUUAUAUACUUCUUUUUAGUAUUUUAAUACUAAAAUAAAUUUAAUAAUUUUAAAAAAUAUGCCAUGACAUAUUAUGUUUAAAAAAAUAUAUAAAUCAAUUUUUCUUAUUUUGUAUAAAAUUAUUUAUAAUAUUUUCAUAUAAUGAUAAAUCUAAUUAUGAUAUGUGUAUAUAUAAUACUAAUUAUAAAAAUAAAUAAAUAAGAAUUAAAGAUGUAGAUAAACACAAAAUAAAUACAUGGAAUUAUCAUCUUUUUUUUUUCAAAAAUGUUUUCCAUUUAUUUUUGAGAUAUUUUUAUAAUAUUAGUUUGUAAUCAGUUAAAUAAUGAAUUAUAUAGUUUAUUUAUUAGAUAUUAAAACUUUAAUUAGUCAAAUUAAAAUUAAAAUUGUUUAAUGACUAAUCCUAAAAUCGUGGAGAAUAUGACAAAUAAGCAAAUUCACUUCUCAAAUAAUAGUAUAGAUCAAUAUCCGGUUAUACUACUCUGUAUAUUUUAAUUACUCAAUUUCACAUUAUGAUGUACAUACUUAGCAUUUGUGUUUUUCUUUUUUAUGGAUAUAUUUAGUGACUAUCACAUGUGGUAUGUAGAUUAACUCUGUAAUAUACGAUAAUUAAAAUUUACAAAAACUACAUCUAUUACAAAUAUAAAGUACAAACACAUUAACAACACUUUUUCAUUCAAGUUUCUGGACUCCAAUCAGAUUUCGUCACUUGCGAAAAACUGUCAGCUAACAUUUCAUUUUUGAUAUUUUUGAAGUUAGCUGUGUGUAAUACCUAUAAAAAACAACACGUGCCACUCAUUUAAAAUAUCUUUCCACUCUCAUCUACACAUUAACAUGAUUUUUAUUCUGGCAGAAUACUGAUAAUUACUAUUUGUUAAUAGAUUUGACAAAUGGCAAGAGGGAUAUAAACUUCAUUCCAUCAACACUCUCUAGGUUUUCAAAUACAAAAAAUUUAUGUUUAUCUACCUAUUUGCCGACCAUGUUUUGUAUAUACAUCAAAACUAUGUCUUUUGUCUGCGAACGCGGACAUAAUCAGAAAUACUUAUUAAUUUAUGUCUUAUUAAUUUAAAAAUCAGCAUAAUAAGUUUUUACUUGUGUUUUUAAAUUUUUUAAAUAAAACAUUAAAUUAUUUAUAAAUGACAAUUAUUUCAUCAAAAUAUAUAAUCUAUAAGAACAUGGUCCUAUUAUUUAUCUAUUGUUAAUAAGUCAUACUACGACCAUCUAAAAAAUUACUUAAUAUGACAUAUUUUAUUAUUUACAUUAAUAAUAAAACAAAUAUAAAUAUAAAUUUAUUUUUAAGUAUAGCAAAUUCUGUUGAGAAACAUUCUAACAAUCUUAGUGAUUUCUGCUGAUGUGUUGCUCAUAGCAGAACUUUCCAAAUAAUUGUUAUAAUUUGAUUGGUUGAUGGUUUUUAAUUAAUUAUUUAUUUAAUUAAAGUUUUUAAAAAGAAACUAGCUCUAGAAUUACCUAAUCUAAUAUAUGUAUCCAAACAUAAAAUUAAGCAUCUUAAAUAUAGAUGAAUUAAUAUAAUUUAUUUAAAUAAACACUUAAAUAUCAUAUAUUACAUUAUAUAAAAUAAUCAUAUACAUUUAAAUACAUAUGAUACUACGGAAAAAAUUAUAAAAACAGUUCUUAAUAUAUUUAUAUUAGUAGUGAAUAUAAUAAAUCAUAGAUUCUAGAAAACUAAUUAAUGUAAACCUAAUAAUAUUAAUUAAACUCACUCAUUCACUAUAUAUAUUCUAAAAUGAUUCAAAUAAAUGCAAAACAGUCAAAUAUAUAAUUUUAAAUUUUUUUGUCAUUUUCUAAUGACAAUGUGAUAUCAUAGAUAAGUUAUCACUUUUAGAAAUGAUUUAAAUAUUUUUAUAUUUUAUAUGGUAAGUCAUUUAAAAUUACAUUAAUCAUGAAAUGUUAUUUAAUUCAUCUAUUAAUAUAAACAAAUGAAUUAAAAUUAUUAUAUGGUAAGUCACUUAAAAUUAUAUUAUAUGGUAAUUCAUUUAAAAUUAUUAUAUAGUAGGUCAUUUAAAUUAAAUUAAUCAAAGAAUUUUUCACAUGCUUUUCACAAAUUUUAACAAAUUUUAUACAAAUUUAAUUAAUACUAUUGGAUCUCACAUUAAUAUUAAGUAUAUAUGUAUAAAAUAACAACAUUUCGUUAUUUAAAAAUUUGAAAAUUAUUUUUUUCUUAUUAAUUAAUCAGAUUUAAUUAAAUGGGUAUGUUUCAAAAGAAGAAAUGGUUUGUUUAACCCAUUUAAGUUUUAUGCUAAACACUAAAUAAAAAAUGAGUGAGAAAGUGUGAUAUGUGAUUUGACAAAAUUAUGAGAGAAAUUACUUAGGCUACCAUUUUCCUAAUACAUGUUUUCAUGUUUACAUUAACCAAAUAUCCUUGGUUUUAAAGAGAUAAAUCAUUUUAUAUAUUAAUUGAAAAGUCACUUAAAUAUAUUUUUCUUAUGUAUUGUUAAUAGGUUGAAUUUAAAAAAAUAGUUAUAAUUUGAUUGGUUGUUGACGUUUAUUGGUUAUUUAUUUUAAUCAAAUCUAAAAAAUAAAAGGUAACUAUAGAACUAAUUAAUAUAAAUUACCAAAUAACACUUGUAAUAUUACAAAUAAUGAUUUAUGGUAACUAAUUGUAGAAUUGGAGAAAUAAUAUAUAUGUUUUAUCAAUUUCCUUUUCUUUAUCAAUUAUUUAUAUAUAAUUAAAUAAAAUACUUUAAUUUUUUUUAAUAUUAAAAAAUUAAUGGUUAUAUAUUGUUAUAUAAAAUAAUUAGAUUUGCAGGUAAAAAAUUAUUUGAACUUUUUAUUUUCUAAAAACCACACAAAAACAUUUACAAAAUAUUUUCAUAAUAAAAGCAUCUGAUCAUUGUAUUGAUUCUACACAACAAACUCUCUUUUGAUUUCUUGAAAGCUAGAGUAUUCUCAAUUUUUCACCUGUUAAAAUAAGAUAUAAAGUAAUUCUACAACCAAUUAUCUGAAUUAAUUAUAAUAUUAUUUUUCUGUAAGUGAAAUAUUUGUAAUGAUUAAGAUUUACGUUGUUGAUCUAUUUUAAAUAUUGCUUUUGAGUUUUGACUAAGGUCUAAUGAAAAUUUUGAUUAUCCAACUAUUUAAAAUUAAAAAUUAAAAUUUUACUUAUUAUUCAAAAAUUAUAACAAUAUAAACAUAAUAUAUAUUUCAUCAUAUAAUAUAAUUACCCGCAAAUUUACGGACAAACAUCUAGUAUUUAAUUACAAAUUUAUAUAUCUAAUUAUUUAAGUAAAAAUCUAUAUUAUUAAAAGAGAAGUACCAAUAUAAAUUACCCCUUAGUUUUUCAUUUUAUUUACACUCCAAUGCCACUGAAGUAAUAAAUGAUCCUUUCUUUUAGUAAUAUUGUCUUUUACAAAUAAUAAAUGUAUUUCCUAUUUCUAAUUUUACCAACAAAAACGGGAAACAAUGACUUGAACGUAAUCUGUCUUUAUUAUUUAAACUACAGUGUAAAAAAAUCUUAGGAAAAUGAAAUCGUUCAAUAGUUCUUAACUAUAGUCUGCAGCCUUCUUCUUCAUCUAUAGGUGAUGAACAUGGAGGAUAACUUUAGUUUAAAAAAAAUUAAAAUUCAUGACUUCAAAUCGUCAUUGCUAUGAUACAUAUAUUAAUAAUUAUUCUUCCGGAAGUUAAUGUUCAGUCACGUUCUCAUAGUCAUAGAUAUAUUACUGUAACCUAUAACAAAGAUAUAUACAUAUUUAUUUCUUUAUGUAAAAUUCAAAUCAUCUAUACAAUCGAUUUUCUAAUCUUUCUAAACUAGCAAAUCAAUAAAUUCAGAAUCAAAACAGAAUAUCUUUUAAUUUAUUAGUCUAUCCAAACUUAUAAUUAAUUUCAAAUCUUUAUUAUAUCUAUAAAAUAUAGAAACUAUAGCCUAAAUUUUUGGUAGCUAUUAUAUUUACGUAAAUAAUAAUAUAUAUACUUAUCUUUUAUAUAGACCUGUGAAGUUGCUCUUCAUAGAAGAAUGAAACACUCGAUCUUUGUAUUUGAAGUAUAUUAUUCCCGAAAACAAAUACAAGAUUGUAAGAAUAGUAACAAAACAAACAGUUGAACAAUAUAUUACCUUCUGCACAAAUUUUUUGGUCUUCUUCUGUCAAAACUUCACCUAAAGCAGGGUGGCUCAAGAACUGCAAAUCUCUCAACUCUA